rnacentral:rRNA from 1 species
GACGAACGCUGGCGGCGUGCCUAAUACAUGCAAGUAGAACGCAGUUGCGAACGGGUGAGUAACGCGUAGGUAACUGCCUCAUAGCGGGGGAUAACUAGUGGAAACGAUAGCUAAUACAGCAUACUGUGAGAUGGACCUGCGUUGUAUUAGCUAGUUGGUGAUGUAAAGGCUCACAAAGGCGAAGAUACAUAGCCGACCUGAGAGGGUGAUCUGCCACACUGGGACUGGAACACGGCCCAGACUCCUACGGGUGGCAGCAGUAGGGGAUCUUCGGCAAUGGACAGAAGUCUUACCUCGCAACUCCGCGUGAGUGAGGAGGGUUUUCGGAUCGUAAAGCUCUGUUGUUAGAUACGCGGUAACUAACCAGAAAGGGUCGGCUAACUACGUGCCAGCAGCCGCGGUAAUUC